rnacentral:sRNA from 1 species
GGAUGUGAGGGAGAUCUGGCUGUGACAUCUGUCAUCCCAUUCAUCUCCAGGGUUGAUUCAGCUUAUCUGGCUGGCUAGGUGGGUGUCCCCUUCCUUCCUCAUGGCUCCAGGUGUGUCCCUCCUGAAGCUGCUCGCUCAGUCAAAGAGGAUGACCAUCCCCAAUGGAGGAGGAUCGUUCUUCGGUCCAGGGUAUAUGAGUCACUGCACUCCCCUGCUAGAACCUCCAAACAAGCUCUCAGGCAUUCCUUCCCCACCAUGGAAAAGUAUCCACUUUUAUAAUUUUGUAU